CGGCCUACCAAAGCGACGAUCCAUAGCCGGCCUGAGAGGGUGAACGGCCACAUUGGGACUGAGACACGGCCCAGACUCCUACGGGAGGCAGCAGUGAGGGAUAUUGGUCAAUGGGGGGAACCCUGAACCAGCAACGCCGCGUGAGGGAUGACGGCCUUCGGGUUGUAAACCUCUGUCCUCUGUGAAGAUAAUGACGGUAGCAGAGGAGGAAGCUCCGGCUAACUAC
rnacentral:rRNA from 1 species